rnacentral:rRNA from 1 species
GUGGGGAAUCUUGCGCAAUGGGCGCAAGCCUGAUCCAGCAAUGCCGCGUGCAGGAAGAAGGCCUUCGGGUUGUAAACUGCUUUUGUACGGAACGAAACGGUCUGGGUUAAUACCCUGGGCUAAUGACGGUACCGUAAGAAUAAGCACCGGCUAACUACGUGCCAGCAGCCGCGGUAAUACGUAGGGUGCGAGCGUUAAUCGGAAUUACUGGGCGUAAAGCGUGCGCAGGCGGUUUUGUAAGACAGGCGUGAAAUCCCCGGGCUCAACCUGGGAAUGGCGCUUGUGACUGCAAAGCUGGAGUGCGGCAGAGGGGGAUGGAAUUCCGCGUGUAGCAGUGAAAUGCGUAGAUAUGCGGAGGAACACCGAUGGCGAAGGCAAUCCCCUGGGCCUGCACUGACGCUCAUGCACGAAAGCGUGGGGAGCAAACAGGAUUAGAUACCCCAGUAGUCC